UGCUCCUGUGUAAAGAUGUGGGCUCGCAGCUCCCCGAUUCUGCCACUCUCCGGACCCUGGUUGCCAGGCCUUGCUUCUGUGAUGGACUCUGAUCAGUCUGGGACCCUAAGUCGAUUUAACCCUUCCUUCUUUAAGUUGCUUUGGGUAAUGGUGCUUCAUCCACAGCGAGAGGAAAGUAAGACGACAUUCACACUCCUUUCUUGCCUGAAUGCACAGCUCUGGCAAGAUUCAUCCUCAGGACACUGCUGAUCUAGCCCCCGGCUCCUGAUGCUGUUUCCAGAGACUUGCUUCCAAAACAGCUUCAGGAAUAGCUGCUGAGCCCCGAUGGCCUCUCUUCAUCUCACCUUUCGGAUUCAGUCAGAACUUCAGUCAGGAAACUCCUUUAUCACACUCCGAGGAAGGAAAGUGUUGCCUGGAGAGGACAUUGACGCCACCAGCUCAAUCGAGGCGGGCUCAGCCAUCAGUGGGUUUGUUUGGCCACUGGACGAACCGAUUUUUCCAACGUGACUCCUGUCAGACAUUUCCGUGGUAUCAGAAGCCACGUAAGACCUCCUGUGCAUUUGUUUGUUUGUUUGUUUGUUUUUGUUUUGUUUGUUUGUUUUGGUUUUUUUAAGGCUAGGGCAGCUACAGCAGACUUCGUCCUCAGACUGCAACUGUCACAUAUGGUGGUUAGGUUAAAGCAUCCACGUGACCCCCGGGAGACAGCGGGAAAGGUCUCAGGUGAGUACAAAAGGCAAGUACCAUCCAACGGCAGCAAGUAGAACUCACGCACACACCGGUGACUUCAUUUCUUUUUAACCGGUUCUUGAAAAUCAUGAGACGCAUCUGAAAGUCUACUUUUCUAAAACAAAUAAAUAAAAACUUAAAAGUAUGCAUUUAGUUUUUUUCUUCUUUUCUAAUUGACUCAGGAAAACAGUUGUUCCAUCCCUAAAACUUUUCAUUUGUAUUUCUAGACACGGCACAACUCCUUUUCUUCUCCCAGUCUGUGAGUUUCCGCCUAGCAUAGCACCCAGCCAGGCUCAUGCUGAACCAGUUUCAGCCAGUCUUAAAGUGGCGCUUGCCAUCAACCUGAUGGUGUAAUGCCUAUGAAGGAGUUUGAUUUCCUGGGUAGAGGGGUGCCGUGUCUCGAGUAUCAUCAAGUGUUCUUUCCAGUGUGAUGCUGCCAGAUUGCUUUUCAGGAGCUCGUAGAAAGAGGGUACCACUGGAUACGGGCAAUUACUUCACAAGCAGGAAAUGAUCUACAUGUUGAAGGAGAAAGUCUUCAGCUGGAACUUUCUGGAAAGCCUCCCCAGGACCGUGAUUGCUGCCUCCUUCCAGUGUACAGGCCUGGCCAUCAGAGCACUGUCUAGACUACUGUCCACUGUGAUGGGCUCAUAAAAACCGAGUGGGCAAAACCAACCAGAGUCCUGAAACCCCGUCUCAGAGUCCUCACAGGUACAGCUGAGAGGGCCGAUCUCUAAUCUGUGACAUCGUGGCUGAGAGCAAAGCUCCCGGACUUGUUAGUGACUUCUGGGUCAGAUGGACCUGCCAGAGAGACAGCUGAGGCUGAGAUGCACCACACUGGAGUCAGGGUCUCAGGGACAGAGGACCAUCAUUCCUGAAGCGAUUUAAGCAGUAUUUAUCUCUCUAGGUCUAAACCAGUUGGAGUGACGUCCCUAUAACUGACCAAGGAUGUUUCUGACUACAUUAGGUACCAUGUAUCUGACUCACAUUCUAAGAUGUGCUCACAAUGAGAUUGUCCUAGAAGGAACUGAAAACAACCUAUCUCCUCCGCCCUAGCUGAGGUCUUUGUCCAGUCAGCAUUAGAUGCGCCCAGGGUUUCAGCCUCGUAGGUCGUGGUGGGCACCCCAGUUCAUGCCAUUCUCCUGCUGAACAAUGUAGACACAUACUUGGAUACAUGAGUGUAUCCGAAACACAGGAGGCCACAAACCACCUGCAGAAGCCCUCUUUUCUCUGACAGGUGCUCCUUCCUACAAGAGACUCCACAUUGCACCAACAAUUGCCACAUAUAACAUGACUUCAUGGGACCAGGACAAGAGAGAGAGAGAGAAGCCUCAAAGGAGCAAGGAAAGGGGGGCUGGUAAGAGAAAACUUGUAUUCCGUUUCUGCUCUGGGCCAACCACGAUGCCAAACGCUUCCCACACACAUCCCAUUCCAUUCCACCGCGUUGUACGAAGAGCUGUGAAGCAUUUUCUUAAGCAACUGUCAUCUUCAUUUUAAUCAGCGAGAAAACAAUCGUCUAGAAACGAAGUCACUUAGUGUUAAGUCGUAAAGUGACUUAACAGAGUGUCAGUGACAGGUGUGGAUCUUAGGCCAGUCGUCCGACCCUCGUACCUCCGCACAUCUCCUGUCUUUGGAUAUAAUACAGAAGAUAUAAACAUGAUACAAGCAAAGGAGGACAGAGUAUGACAGGCUUACUGGGAAACCUGGAUUGGCUGAGGGCUCGGCGCAGACAUCAGCUUUCUGUGAAAGGAGUGCAACACACAGACUUCCCCCGAGGAAGGGGGCUGCCUGGUCCCCUGGAACCGUGCAGAACCAGAGAGAUGCUAUAGAUACUAGAUAAUUGUUUACUGAGUAGAUAAACAACUAAUUAAAUAAAUAAUAAUAACAGCAGAUAUGCUCAGCUAUUUAUAGUAAGGAUAAUGGGAGAUAAAUGGAAUUCAUCUCCGGGUUUGACUUCUCCCUGCAAUAAGCAUCCCCUCCAGAUUCUGACCCGGCUCAUGUUCUUUGUGCUGGAGCCUUGGUGAUGGCUUGCUGGAAGAUUGCCUGGAAAGAUAUGGAAUAUGCAUUACCCACAUUCCUCCUCUGGUCAUCAUAUCAGAAGAAAGGACAUGAGAGCCUCUUAAACCCACUGGGGGAUAUAAUGCAGGGGUGUGGAAGGAAGUACAAACCAAAGAUCAAGGUCAGAUGCACUCGCCUGCCGUUCUAGCGGAGACAUCAACAACCCGGUUAAAACAGAGGUCCCAUUGCUGCCGGAGUUUGCACAGUUACAAGGAGCAUGCUUCAGAAUGGAAUUCAUAAGAGCAGGCCAGUCCUGCAGCUUACUGACUGGUUCACACAUUAUGGCCAGGGAAGUCCGUAAGGGUUUCUGAAGUCCACCCGCUUUGUCUCCAGAAGGCCAAGCGCAAUGACUUUUUAUCAAAGGGAUGUACGUACCCUCACACACCCAACUUCCGCUCAGAAAAUACUGACUCUGUUUGGUUUACAGGACAUGUGACAAUCCAAGCCAAUCAGAUGGAACCCAGUUGUAAAGUCUUCACUUUCCAGUGGGAUUUGAAUCUGAGGAGUUAGGCGGCCUGAGCAUUCAUUUCCUGCCUAAAUCAAACCAGAGAGCCAGAUUGAUAGAAGGAGCAGAUCAAGGCAUAGUCAAGAAGUAAGGACGUGGAACCAUACUUGAGAUCACUCCUUUGGCCCAGGCUCUCCCUGAGACUGUUCAUGUCUGUGAGAAGAUAGAUCCUCCUCUUCUUUACUUAAGCCAACUGAGCCUAAGGUUCUCAUCACAGAUAACUCAGUCCCAGCAAACACAAGCCUUUUACAACCCCCUCCUCCCCCUCAGUGCUCCUAAUGAGAAAGGGAGCAGCAGUGUUCACCUCUCAGGUAGAAGAAAAUCAAGGGUGGGAGAGAUGGCUCAGAGGUUCAGCAUGUUUACUGCUCUUGCUGAGCCAGAGUUCAGUUCCCAGCACAUGCCAGGAGGCUCACCAGCUCGGAACUCCAGAGUAUCUGAUGCCCUCUUCUGGUGUGUGUUAGUACAGC